GACAGGGGGUGCAAACGUUGUUCGGAAUUACUGGGCGUAAAGCGUGUGUAGGCGGCUUUGCAAGUCAGACGUGAAAGCCCCGGGCUCAACCCGGGAAGUGCGCUUGAUACUGCAAGGCUCGAGUGUCGGAGAGGUUGGUGGAAUUCUCGGUGUAGAGGUGAAAUUCGUAGAUAUCGAGAGGAACACCGGUGGCGAAGGCGGCCAACUGGACGAACACUGACGCUGAGACACGAAGGCCAGGGGAGCAAACAGG
rnacentral:rRNA from 1 species